AGGUCAAGCGAAGAAGAGCGCAGGGUGGAUGCUUGGCACUAAGAGCCGAUGAAAGACGUGAUAAGCUGCGAAAAGUCACGGGGAGGAGCAAAUAUCCAUUGAUCCGUGAAUAUCUGAAUGGGGAAACCCACAUGAGAAUACCUCAUGUAUCCAUACGCCAAUCCAUAACGUAUGAAGGGAACCCGGUGAACUGAAACAUCUAAGUAGCCGGAGGAAGAGAAAGAAAAAUCGAUUUCCAAAGUAGCGGCGAGCGAAAUGGAAAGAGCCCAAACCGGAGUGCGUGCAUUCCGGGGUUCGGACCGCAUAAUUGAUUCAGCAAUUCCAGCAGAACUGUUUUGGGAAAGCAGACCAGAGAGGGUGAAAGUCCCGUAAGCGAAAGAAGAGCUGACAUGGCGGUAUCCAGAGUACAUCGAGACACGAGAAACCUUGAUGGAAUAAGCGGGGACCACCCCGUAAGGCUAAAUACUACUUAGUGACCGAUAGCGCAUAGUACUGUGAAGGAAAGGUGAAAAGGACCCCGGGAGGGGAGUGAAAGAGAACCUGAAACCCUGUGUUUACAAGCUGUGGAAGCACUUUAUAUGUGCGACCGCGUACUUUUUGUAGAACGGUCCGGCGAGUUACGCUUACUGGCGAGGUUAAGGACUUAAGGUCCGGAGCCGAAGGGAAACCAAGUCUUAAUAGGGCGAGUUUAGUCAGUAGGAGUAGACCCGAAACCGGGUGAUCUAUCCAUGUCCAGGUUGAAGAUGCCGUAAAAGGCGUUGGAGGACCGAACCCACAUCCGUUGAAAAGGGUGGGGAU
rnacentral:rRNA from 1 species